GAUGAACGCUGGCGGCGUGCCUAAUACAUGCAAGUCGAGCGAACGGACGAGAAGCUUGCUUCUCUGAUGUUAGCGGCGGACGGGUGAGUAACAUGUGGAUAACCUACCUAUAAGACUGGGAUAACUUCGGGAAACCGGAGCUAAUACCGGAUAAUAUUUUGAACCGCAUGGUUCAAAAGUGAAAGACGGUCUUGCUGUCACUUAUAGAUGGAUCCGCGCUGCAUUAGCUAGUUGGUAAGGUAACGGCUUACCAAGGCAACGAUGCAUAGCCGACCUGAGAGGGUGAUCGGCCACACUGGAACUGAGACACGGUCCAGACUCCUGCGGGAGGCAGCAGUAGGGAAUCUUCCGCAAUGGGCGAAAGCCUGACGGAGCAACGCCGCGUGAGUGAUGAAGGUCUUCGGAUCGUAAAACUCUGUUAUUAGGGAAGAACAUAUGUGUAAGUAACUGUGCACAUCUUGACGGUACCUAAUCAGAAAGCCACGGCUAACUACGUG
rnacentral:rRNA from 1 species